rnacentral:rRNA from 1 species
UACGUAGGGGGCGAGCGUUGUCCGGAGUUACUGGGCGUAAAGCGCUUGUAGGCGGUCCACCAAGUUUGGGGUGACAGUUGCCGACUUAAUCGGCAAAGUGCCUCAAAGACUGGCGGACUUGAGGGCCACAGAGGGACAUGGAACUCCAGGUGUAGUGGUGAAAUGCGUAGAUAUCAGGAGGAACACCGGUGGCGAAGGCAGGUCUCUGGGCCUGUACUGACGCUGAGGAGCGAAAGCGUGGGGAGCGAACAGG